UUAAAACCCUAAUGCUGACUAAAGGGAAAAAGUUCAGUUCAGGGUUUAAAACCCUAAUGCUGACUGCAUGGAAAAGCUCAGUUUAAGGUUUAAAACCCUAAUGCUGGCUGAAUGGAAAAAGUUCAGUUUAGGGUUUAAAACCCUAAUGCUGACUAAAGGGAAAAUUCAGUUCAGGGUUUAAAACCCUAAUGCUGACUGCAUGGAAAAGCUCAGUUUAGGGUUUAAAUCCCUAAUGCUGGCUGAAUGGAAAAAGUUCAGUUUAGGGUUUAAAACCCUAAUGCUGACUAAAGGGAAAAUUCAGUUCAGGGUUUAAAACCCUAAAGCUGACUGCAUGGAAAAGCGCAGUUUAGGGUUUAAAACCCUAAUGCUGGCUGAAUGGAAAAAGUUCAGUUUAAGGUUUAAAACCCUAAUGCUGACUAA
rnacentral:lncRNA from 1 species